AUGUUGGGCAAGUGUUCUCUUGCAGAGCUGCACCCCCAGCUGUUGAAUACUGUUUUUUAUAGCCGACUUUCACCUUUUCUUCUCAGGGUUGUCAGUGUUGGCUACCUCAGCUGGCCUUUACCUUGUUCCUUUUUGCAAGACAGCAGCGUUACUGAUUGCUGUGAUGUCUGUCUUUGGCGCUGCAGCUGGUGUUCUGGAUACAGGCAGAAGAAGCAUGGACCAAACCACCAACCAGAACACAGACAAGGACAAUGCCCCAGGAAAAAAAGAUCCCUAAAUUGCUGGAGGAAAAGUGACCCAAGGGAAAAGCAUGAUUGCAGAAUGUACUCUUGUUUCCUAUUCCAGGUAACAACCUUUUGCUCUAGUGGUUUUUAAUCUUGGCUGUUAUUAAUUUCUGGGAAUUUUCAGGACUACUCAUGGCUAGAACUU
rnacentral:lncRNA from 1 species